rnacentral:rRNA from 1 species
GAUGAACGCUGGCGGCGUGCUUAACACAUGCAAGUCGAACGGGAAAUAUUUCAUUGAGACUUCGGUGGAUUUGAUUUAUUUCUAGUGGCGGACGGGAGAGUAACGCGUGGGUAACCUGCCUUAUACAGGGGGAUAACAGUCAGAAAUGGCUGCUAAUACCGCAUAAGCGCACAGAGCUGCAUGGCUCAGUGUGAAAAACUCCGGUGGUAUAAGAUGGACCCGCGUUGGAUUAGCUUGUUGGUGGGGUAACGGCCCACCAAGGCGACGAUCCAUAGCCGGCCUGAGAGGGUGAACGGCCACAUUGGGACUGAGACACGGCCCAGACUCCUACGGGAGGCAGCAGUGGGGAAUAUUGCACAAUGGGGGAAACCCUGAUGCAGCGACGCCGCGUGAAGGAAGAAGUAUCUCGGUAUGUAAACUCCUAUCGGCAGGGAAGAUAGUGACGGUACCUGACUAAGAAGCCCCGGCUAACUACGUGCCAGCAGCCGCCGUAA